rnacentral:rRNA from 1 species
UACGUAGGUGGCGAGCGUUGUCCGGAUUUACUGGGCGUAAAGCGCGCGCAGGCGGCAGUCUAAGUCCUCUGUGAAAUCACCCGGCUCAACUGGGUGGCUGCGGAGGAGACUGGGCAGCUUGAGGGGCGUAGAGGCCGGUGGAACUCCCGGUGUAGUGGUGAAAUGCGUAGGGAUCGGGAAGAACACCAGUGGCGAAGGCGGCCGGCUGGGGGCGCCCUGACGCUGAGGCGCGAGAGCGUGGGGAGCAAACCGG